GCAGCUGGUGAGAGUAACUAAAGACGCAAAAUAGAUCACAUCACUUCUCUCCAUAACAGUGCCACUGGCUCCAUGUUGCCUGUUGGGUGAUGAAAGUCCCUUAAUAUGACAUGCAAGACCUUUUAUGAGUUAGCCUACACUUCUCAGGCUUAACCCAUGCCACUCUCUGCCUCAUACAGCAGUCGGCACUCCUUUCUCAUGCUCUGUAUUCUUCCUGCAAAGCUUCUCAUAUGCACGGUUAUUCAUUUAACAAUUGUGUAUUAAGUAUCUGACAUGUGGUAGGCCCUGGGGUCACCAGAGGAAACAAAACCAGGUAUGGCCCUUACCUGUGAAGUUAAUCAUCAUAUGGGGAUACAUGUUAAAUAAUCAUUUGAAUAGAUAAUAAACUUUCAACUGUGACAAGUGCAGCAAGAGCCUAUUUUAUAGGGAGAUCUGAUCUAUUAAGGAAGUCAGGUAGGCUUUCUGAGGCAGUGACUAGGGUCUACAAGGUAAGCUGAGGUAAUUAGGUAAUAGGGAGUUGCAGGGACAAAGGCACUGGGAUGGGAGAAAAUUUGCUAAGAGUGUGAGUGGGUAGAGGAGUUGCUGGUUAAGGCUGGAAAUUUGAUAAGAACCAAUCACGCAGAGGCUUGUGGACAGUAUUAAGGAGCUUUUUGGAAUUUCAAGAGGAGUAGCAUCCUAGAUUUUAAACCGUGAACAUCAUCAGUUUAGUGAUUAGAAAAAUAUUGCUGUGCUUACAGCAUGGAGAAUGGGUUGGAAUGGGUUCAGAUUAAGUGAAGGCAGAUAAUCCAAAAGGCUAUCAUGACAAUGUAGUCCUGUUAUCCUGAGAGGUGACAGCAGUCUGGCCCAACGAAGUGAUGGUAGAGGUGGAAAGAAGAGUUACCUGAGGGCAGGGAUUGUCUUCAUAUUUGAAUUUCCAAGCUCAAUACUUCCGUCUUCAGUUUGUCCAUUGAGUUAGUAGGAUCAGACAUAGGGGAGCAAGAAAUGAUGUCUGUGAUUACUGAGUUUGAGAAUGUCCAUGGGUAAAUCUUUGAAAUGGAACAAGCUGUCUCUCAGUCAUUCAGUAGUAGUCAUUAAAUAACUUCUGUGUGCGGGGCAGUGUUCUAGGCAGUUAGGGUGCACCAGAGAACAAAGAUGUCUGCCCAUGUGAACUUGCUCAGCGUUGGAGGGGACAACAUGCAGUAGAUGUAGAUGAAUUCUGCACCAUGUUGUCUCUGUUCCAUGUGUACACCAUGGGAAGAUUUGGAGCAGGAUGACCAAGACCAGGAGAAUGUGUGUGUGUGGGGGUAAGUUACAUCAUGAAAGAUGAUGAGGGUAGGCCUUAUGGGGAAGGUGACAGUGGGGUACAGUCCUUUAGGAUGAUGGAGUCAGUCAGGCUGUAGGGGGACGAGUGCUCCAGGGAGAUGAAGUAGAGGUGCCUGACUUGCUAGUGGAAUAGUGGGGGCCAGUGUGUGGAGCCGAGUAGGCCAGGCGGGCAAACACUAGAGACAAGGGUGGGGAGGGGAUGGGGAAAGGCCAGGGAGAGCUGUGCGGGCCCUGGAAGGACUUGGUGCUCUGGGUGAUGGACACCAGUGAAGGGUUGAAACAUGGGAUGGAUUUGGUCUGACUUUUAUUUUUAAAGGAUUGCCCUGGAUACUGUGAAUAGAAUGCAGCAGGUCAAGGGUGGAAGCUUGGAGACCUUUUGGGAGUUUUUUCCAGAAUCCAGGCAAGAAAGGGUGAUGACCGAAACCAGGGUGUGAAUAGAGCAGUUGGGCUGGGGCUGUUGCUCAGUGGUACACUGGGUGCUUAGUCUGUGCAAGGCCCUAGGUUUGAGCCCCAGCACCAGACACUUGUGUGCCCACACAUACCAACUAGAGAGAUUGAGGCAAAAGAAAUAAAAGGCUGAAAAAAUUGUCCAGGUCCUGAAUAGGAUUUCUCCAGAAGUCAAGUGGGAUUGAUCAGCAAUGGACUGAAGGGUCCUCUGAAGAAGAGAAUGAUGAGCCUUAAGCUGGGAGGGGUGGUGCACGCCUGUAACCCGAGCACUCUGGGAGCCUGAGAAACGGGCUGAGACACUUCUCAGGAUGUUCCCAUCCUUGAACUAUUCCUUCAAGGGAACCAAGGCAAGACAAACAGGAUUGCAGCUAUGGGAAGUAUGACAGGGGGCGUGAUCUCUUCUUGGAGCAGAGUCAGCAGCACAAGCAAACUAUCUCGGGAAUGACCUCUCAUCCCCUUCGGCCACAGCCUGCCGGGCCUGCAAGAUUAGUAAGCUUGAAUGCGCGACUCUUUACCAAGAGGAUCUUCCCUUAACUCCAUGUCAUACAUCCCUGCACCUGGCUUCCCUCAAGUUUUUCCUUAUUGUUUUAUAUUAAGUCAAACUUUUAAACACUCUCAUAUGUAGCAUCCUAAAGUUAAAUUGUGUAUCUCACCGUCAUACAUAAGAUUAGAAAAUAAUUGUUUUAAUUUAGCUUGAUUAAAAUGGAAAAAAUUUUAAAAUAGGUUUUUGUGUAAUCCCUUUUACUUGGGAGACUGAGACAAGAAGAUCUUGAGGUUGAGGCCAGGCUAGACAACUUAGUGAAACCCGUGUCUCAAAAAAAAGGCAGGGGAGGGCUGGGGAUUUAGCUCAGUGGUUUCACCACCUGCUUCACAAGCACAAGGACCUGAGUUCGAUCCCCGGUACCAAAAAAAAAAAAAAAAGGCAGGGGAGGGGAUGGUGUGCUGUAUUUGCCAUUUACGAGCCGAGUGUUUCAGCAAAUCAGGCACUACAGUCUAAUCUUUAGGGCCCUGCCAAAUUUGUUCUUCCAUUCUACGAUGCACAGCAGAUGGGGAUACAGGUGAGAAGGCCAAGCUAGUUAAGCAGGCCAAAAGCUGGCCUACACUGUCUCAGCCUACAUCGUCUUCUGUCACAUCUUUCAUAAAACACAGUGGGAUGAACAGUGUUUCUACCAGUAUUUGUUCGUUCAUACAUUCACUCCACAAACACUGUUUGACCUAGGACUAUUGCAAGUUGAAGAGGCUGCGGCCUUCUGUAAUAACACUGUUUGUGGCUGUGCAGGCCAGCUGGCAUGUUUUGCACUGCAGAGUGAAAGCUGCUGGGAAAGGUGGAGGGGCGGCUCAAUUGGCUGGGUAUAGCCAAUUGGCGUGUGGGUGGCAUGUCUGGGUGGGUCAUGGAGGCAUUGCCAUGGGGUGUGUCUAGUCCAUAGCUCCUUCCUCAGCUCUGCUUCCUAGCUGCUGUGAACUAAGGAGCUUACAGUAGGUAAACGACAGUGGCCCAGGUGUGGCUGUGAGGGUAGCAUGUGGGCCGGGGGCCUUUGGUUGCCUGCUCAUACCUUGGGUGUUAAUAGCAUGUGCAAGUAAAUAACCAGACAGGAGUCUUUGCCCUUACAGAGUUUACCGUGUAGAAGGGGGAGCUAUAUAAAAACAAGUAAAAUGCAGCAUAUGAGAGUUGUGAAGAAAGGGAAGAACUCUGAGUUGAGUGGUGAGUGGAAGACCACCUGGGCAUAUGGCAUCUGGCAGACCUCAUGCAUCUGGCACAAGCAGAGGAAGGGCAGCCUGUCAUUGUCUAGAAGUUGUGCUUUCUUAGCAU
ensembl:lncRNA